rnacentral:rRNA from 1 species
AGGGGAAUAUUGGACAAUGGGCGCAAGCCUGAUCCAGCCAUGCCGCGUGAGUGAUGAAGGCCCUAGGGUUGUAAAGCUCUUUCACCGGUGAAGAUAAUGACGGUAACCGGAGAAGAAGCCCCGGCUAACUUCGUGCCAGCAGCCGCGGUAAUACGAAGGGGGCUAGCGUUGUUCGGAUUUACUGGGCGUAAAGCGCACGUAGGCGGACUAUUAAGUCAGGGGUUAAAUCCCGGGGCUCAACCCCGGAACUGCCUUUGAUACUGGUAGUCUUGAGUUCGAGAGAUGUGAGUGGAAUUCCGAGUGUAGAGGUUAAAUUAUUAGUUAUUCGGAGGAACACCAGUGUCGAAGGCGGCACACUGGCUCGAUACUGACGCUGAGGUGUGACAGCGUGGGGAGCAAACAGG